rnacentral:tRNA from 2 species
GCCGCGGUGGCGAAGUGGUAUCCGCGUCGCACUCGUAAUGCGAAGAUCCUAAGUUCAAUCCUUAGUCGUGGCA